rnacentral:rRNA from 1 species
UACGGGGGGGGCAAGCGUUGUUCGGAAUUACUGGGCGUAAAGGGCGCGUAGGCGGUUCGCUAAGUUGAAUGUGAAAACUCUGGGCUUAACCCAGAGACUGCAUUCAAUACUGGCGGGCUAGAGUUCUGGAGGGGAUAGCGGAAUUCCUGGUGUAGCGGUGAAAUGCGUAGAUAUCAGGAGGAACACCGGUGGCGAAGGCGGCUAUCUGGACAGAGUCUGACGCUGAGGCGCGAAAGCUAGGGGAGCAAACAGG